rnacentral:rRNA from 1 species
UACGGGGGGGGCAAGCGUUGUUCGGAAUUACUGGGCGUAAAGGGCUCGUAGGUGGCCAACUAAGUCAGACGUGAAAUCCCUCGGCUUAACCGGGGAACUGCGUCUGAUACUGGAUGGCUUGAGUUCGGGAGAGGGAUGCGGAAUUCCAGGUGUAGCGGUGAAAUGCGUAGAUAUCUGGAGGAACACCGGUGGCGAAGGCGGGUCUCUGGGCCGAUACUGACGCUGAGGAGCGAAAGCGUGGGGAGCAAACAGG